rnacentral:rRNA from 1 species
AGUGAGGAAUAUUGCGCAAUGGGGGAAACCCUGACGCAGCGACGCCGCGUGGAUGAUGAAGGCCUUCGGGUCGUAAAAUCCUGUCAGAUGGGAAGAAGUGUAUAUUACCUAAUACGUGAUAUAUUUGACGGUACCAUCAAAGGAAGCACCGGCUAACUCCGUGCCAGCAGCCGCGGUAAUACGGAGGGUGCAAGCGUUGUUCGGAAUUACUGGGCGUAAAGCGCGCGUAGGCGGCUUGUUAAGUCAGAUGUGAAAGUCCACGGCUCAACCGUGGAAGUGCAUAUGAAACUGGCAGGCUUGAGUAUUGGAGGGGGUAGUGGAAUUCCCGGUGUAGAGGUGAAAUUCGUAGAUAUCGGGAGGAAUACCGGUGGCGAAGGCGACUACCUGGCCAAAUACUGACGCUGAGGGCGAAAGCGUGAAAAGCAAACAGGAUUAAUACCCGGUAUUCCACGCCGUAAACGAUGUAAACUAGGUGUUUGGGAUAUUUAUCCUCGCAUUGCCGCAGC